GUCAGAAAAUUCACGCAGAAGCCAAAAUCGGCCAAAAUCACCACCCGGAUGAUGUGCGCCUACCGACCUGGCAAAGACUCUUGCCAAGGGGAUAGCGGAGGUCCAAUGGUGAUCGAAUCAAACGACCUCGACGAAAACAACACAAUCAAAGCUGCUAAACCGG